UACGAACUGUGCAAACGUUAUUCGGAAUCACUGGGCUUAAAGGGUGCGUAGGCGGCGAUAAAGGUCAGGUGUGAAAUCCCACGGCUCAACCGUGGAACUGCGCUUGAAACCAUAUUGCUUGAGGGAGUCAGAGGUAAGCGGAACUGUUGGUGGAGCGGUGAAAUGCGUAGAUAUCAACAGGAACACCGGUGGCGAAAGCGGCUUACUGGGACUUUUCUGACGCUGAGGCACGAAAGCCAGGGGAGCAAACGGG
rnacentral:rRNA from 1 species